ensembl:lncRNA
GGGAGCCUGGUGCUGCCCUGUCCCGUGCCAGCUGCACACAUCGGGCGUGGAGCGCCAACCUUAUGGCCGUGUGGGCCAUUUUCGUCCUGUUUUUCCAGUCCAUUUUUAUUCUCAAUUAUACACAUUGCUAUAUUUGUUAAUGUUCCUAUGGCAACCGCUUUAACUGCUUACAUAGAAAUGUAAUGUCAGGAAACUAUUUAAUGCUUCUGUGGAUGACUUAAUGUGAUUUAGCCCUCUGGUGCAAGGAGAAAUCAGCAUCGUGCGAGCACUGGACGUUGGCUCCUGGCCGUUCUGGAUUUGCACAUCUUGGGUUUCCCACUGCUCGUGCUGAUCUGGAGAAUUUGUACCAAAUAUUUCCAGGCUGAGUAGGAAACACCACUCCAUCCCCACUCACUGGUGCUGGAUCUUGGUACAUUAUCUUCACAUUUCCAUACUGAGGUAGGGAGAUCUUCUAUGACCUCAUUUUCUUAAGCCUUGGAGAAGUGAUUUUGGUGUUGGUAACCCUCCUGGGAGGUGUAACAUAAAUAACGUGGAUUAAAAGAGAUGUGAUUACAUGUAAUGCAACCGUGCUGCUGUCUCAAACAGAUUUUAGAGUUCUUUGUGUCUUUUAUCCUCUGCCAUUCCAGUAAGCAGCAAUAUUUGCUUGCUCUUUCUUAAAUGGCUGUAUUUCUCAAAUGGCAGUCAUUUCUUAAAUGACUGUUUUUUGAUAAAUGCCAUCUACAUGAGGUAUUUCCUAGCAUGUGGUUUGCUGGGUGGUACUCUUAGCUCCUCUUGUUUUCUGUCUAGUGAGAUGAAUGAAAAGGUGUUUUUUGAACAAGACCAUCCAUAACGUGCUGGUUUUUUUCUGGGUGUCUUCAAGCCAAUGCCUUGUCAGGUUAUAGCUCUGUGUGGGCUUAGGGACUCCAUUGGUUAAUUAUUUGUCUUGGCCCUAACUCUUAGUUUCUGUCAUUAAAGGACAGGCCAAAUGAUCAGUGUCCUUGGCUUAAUCUUCUUAGCAAGUAAGCUGUCCAUUGAAUUUCUGCUCUAAUCAAACAGGCAUAAGGAAAGAUGAGAAAAUAAGAUUUCUGGCUUGUUUCAUAUUGCGUGUGGA